UCCUCAUUUUCUGAACACUAGACUUCACAACCUUAGUGCUCUUGCAGUGUCAGUUUGAGAUAGGUUAUGGGUUCAAGACAAUUGUUUGGAACUCUGAACAUUGUGAUCCCUAGCAGUAGAAGAUUAAUUUCCUGGGACGUGAGUGGAGAUCUGCUGGAUCAUCCAUUGGCAAUGCAGGUAUGAAACAUUUCUGAAGGUAAGAGCUUUACGAGUUAAGCCAACUGUAGUUAAUAUGCUGAUAGUAUGCAGGUAAUUCUGUCAAUAUCAUUGAGGGACACCCUUGACAGAUUUUAUACAGAUGAAGUUCUGUUAAUUGAAACUGCUUUCGUUUAUUCCCUUCUUAUCAGUGUAGCAGUAUGGACUUUGUUACUGAUGUCUCCUAAAACUGCUCGUUCUCUCUUCUGGUCAAGAGUAGCUUGUACUAGGAUAAUUGCCCAUGCAGAGUAAACUAGUUUAACCUCGACAUCCUUGGAGCUUUGCACCCAGCUGGUGCUCUUGGGCCAGAUCCGAGUCUGUGUCUCAGAGGUGUUCUUUGGACGCUGAAGUUUAAUCCCUUUUUGGAACAGAUUUUGUCUUUUAGCUUUCAGAAACACUAAGGCAACAGGGAAACAAGGUUUACUCACAAAGUUUUUUUUUGAAGAUGUUACAGCACUGGAAAUAAUGUCAUGUACCAAUGGCUUAGGCUGCAGCGUAGAUACAAGUGGAAGAUUAAUGUUUUAUGUCAAUAGAGUGCUUAGAGAAUUCAUUAUAUUUAACUAUUAUUUUGGAGCCAGAGACAGUUUUGUACUUUAUAUUGCCCACAAGUGCAGGAGGACAUUUAAUGUGAUAAACUGGCAGUUGAAAACCUAUGAGAACAGUAAGUAAUGGGGAAAUUGAGGCAAGGGACCAAACAUGAACACCAGGACAGACCUAGAGCAAAUUUCAGAAAGCCCAAAUGGUUAGCUGAAAAUUAACUUCACUGCAGGGAGACAAUGGCUAAUCUUCCCUUUUGAAAUUUUUUAGUAAGCUGUCUGAGAAAGUGGCUACAGCUAUACAAUACAGGAUAACAAAACACAUUUCUUUAGAGAUAGUAAAAUAUCAAUGUAUGAAUAUUACAUACUGCAAAUGAAAAUAUAAUUGCACAUUAAAAUUAUUAACCUUAUCAAAGAGAAAAAUAUUUCACAACUAAAACUAAGUUCAUUGUCUCCCCUGUUGCUUAACUGCCCUUCAGGCAGUAACCAUCCACUCUAGGGAGAUUUUCAGAAGUUGUCAAUGAACUCCUCUUGAACUCCUCUGAGAUACUUCCAAGGAUCUGCAAAACGUGAGGUUUCUAAUGUUCCCCUGAAUCUUCAAGUGUGUAUAUUACUGGCACUGGAAAGCUUGCAGGGCUCAGGAGCUGAUCAGCAGAGAAAACUGCCCCUGUGUGGGAGGGGGCUGUCUGGGAGAGGAUGCCCCUCCAUCUGCACCCAGAGGCAUGGCAGGGCUGGCCAACAGCCAGAGGGCAACACUGGAGCCCUGCAGGGCAUCUGUGUGCACCCAGGAGAAGAGGAGGGGAGGGAAACCAACAAAGAGUACCCUGAUUUGGGUAUAGCAAGCUCCUGGUGAAGGAAUGUGGGAAACAGGGGCAAUAUGCCAUACAUAAUUUAAACAUCUUCAUGCAUAUUUCAAGUGCCAGUGGGAUGCUCUGCACCCCCAGUCAGUCAUCUCUAGAAAAGUUCUUUAGGGUGCAGAUGAACCAUCCCAUAUUAGCUUAGAAGACCAGGUGACUUGGGUCCACUACUUACCCAGUGCAUUUUGGUGCUAACCACAGCUACACUAGUGUUUCAGUACCUACUCCUCUGUAUGCUAGAUUAUUUUACAGUGCAGGUGGAAUUCACUAAAUUCAAUAUUGAUAUCAAAAAAUCUCUGAGAAUAAAGAGCUCCGCCUCCCUAUCCAUCCAGUUAUCCUGGGAGUGCCACAGAAUUCAAAAGCAUCUGCUAAAUAGGAUGGAGAAUAUAAAAUGAGAAACAUAGUAAAACAAAACUUAAACCAAAAAAACUUAUCAAGCUGAUACAUUCAGGAUUCAAGCAGAAAACAAAGCCACUGAUCAAAAAGCUCCAGCUCCUUCUUCUGUGGAUCAGAGUCCUUGCAGGGGCCCCUCAACACUUCAUGAAAAGAAUCCUCCACUCACAAAUCAACGGAAAUUCAAAGACAGAGGAAAAAAAGUGAAUUUUAAAGCAGUCAGUAUGAAACAGACUUUGUUUCACCAUAAGAGCUCCACCAGGACUGUUCUGCAGAGACGCUGUCAGUCAGGAACAGAGAAGUCCAGGUUCAGCAUUUAGAGUGAACUACAUGCUACUGAAGGUAAUGCAAAAUAGGGAUUUGGUGUAUCUUCUGUACAGAGGGCAAUGACUGAUGUAUUGUGAUCAACAGCUCACAAAAAUGAUGAUAUAAACCAGAUAUAUGAGUUAGACUCUAAUGAAUUGGAAAUACUGAGAUUUUUUUUGAUAUUUCAAACUACACAACUUUUCUUUGUGUUCUUCAGAGGAUGGUAUGAAACUUCUGUUGCUUAAACUAUGCUCUGAAGGAAAUACAGUGUAAUUUAGGGUAUAGUUUGCAUCCCAGUAAGAGAAAAUUAGAUGUUUUAAGCAUUGUUUGUUUGCUUGUUUGCUUUGUUUUCUUUCCUAAUGUUUUCCCUUCAGCUGUAAGAUUUGUAUAAAAAUUGUGUGGAGACUGUCCAUAACUGUUAAUAUAUAUAUGGAUUUUAGCCGCCAGAAGUCUUUUAUAUUAUCAGGAACAAUCUGUACAUAUUGAAAGGGACCACUUUUAUUUGGAUGCAUAUGUCAUUACUAGUCCAAAGUUUGGUAGCUACCUUGGGGACAGUGCUUGGUCUGUUAGGUCUGACUGGAUUUGUACUGCCAGUGUGAAAACAAUUGUGUGUCAAGGACCAUUAGGUCAAUGCCAUUUUUGCAAUCACAGAGUCUCAUAUUGUGGUAUAUCUCAUAACUGCAGAAAUCUUUUUGCCUGCGAAGUUUUGCCACUGCUCUUAAACAGAUCCGCAAAUUGUCCACAGAUUUUUAAGUACUGAGUUUGUCCAGAGCACUUUGGGAAGCGUGACUUUCUUUACUGUACAGUUAGAGAAACUGAGGCACUGGUAAAAGAAAUAAUGUGUCCAGGGAAAGAUACAAAGGAGAAAAAGGGGAUUAGGUAAUAAUAACUUUCCUGAUAUUAUGACUUUCUGGUUGACAUAUCAGUCAUGCUGCUCACUGAACCAUAUAUCCAACUCUUUUAUUGCAGGUGUUGUGCGGUAUGUGUGCUACAGGAGAUUAAACACAACCCCAUAAAAUUUCCCUGAAACUUUAUCCCAUAGGGUUUUAACUACUACAUAUACUACAAAAUCAAGAUUUGUGACUCUGGCUGUUGAAAUUAAAUGGCUUGAGCAUAAUACUCUGUAAUAACUUUAUUUUUGGCUUAUAUCGUGUAACUCAGUGAGAUUCAAAGACUACGUAAAGAAGCUACCACCCUCUGCAGGAGAUGAGAAGGGCUGCAGGGACCUCACUUGUUUGAAGGCGGAGCUCUACUUCCAUGUGACCUCUGGAGCACUGGAUGUCUGUGUUUUGAAAAAGGAAACCCAGGAGAAGGAAUGUCACAGGGCACGGUGGAGCAGUGGUCAGGGUGUUCAGCCAGUUCCGUGGCCAGGAUGCAGUGGGAGGGAUCUGCUGAUCCUGGUGCACCCGGAAAGCAGAUGGUGGGAUCCAGGCUGGGGUUUGGGUCCAGCUUUAUUUUGUGUAGAACCUUGUGGCAGGCAGCUGGGGGCUAAGCCAGGGUGAAAUUAUUGGCUAUGUAAACAUGCCUGGCAGCAGAAAACGCUGUGUGAGGUCAACUGCAAGUAGAACCACAUCCCAAAACCUUCUACUCCUUCGUCGGCUCCUACAAAGAGGCUGCUGUUUCUCUGCCUGACCCAUGUCAACGUUUUAACACGUAACAAAUAUCAAUGCCUGAAGAAACCUUUGAAGAUGAAAAGUGUUUUCUGAAGUGCUUAAGUGUCAUAAUUAGUAAGGAACGUACUGAAUUGCUCUGUCAAGAAGGCAAGGAAAGAACAGUUGUCAAAAAAGUUAAUUGUAUGAGGAAUUUUUGCAUGAGCUGUACAUUGAUAAUACUGUGGAAAAAUUCCUCAUCACAAGUGAAAGACAGCUCAUACUAUUGCACGGGUACUGUGAUUAAAACUUAGGAGGAUUUCAUGGCCAGGUGUUCACUGCAAGAUCUGAAACUUUUGGCUAAAUGUUUUUUUUCUCUAAAACUCUAAAGAGAUAGAAAACAGAUAAAAAACCUGUUAGAACAGAACUUUAAAGGAAGAAUCUUGGUAGAGAAUACACACGUGGGCUUUUACUCCUCUUUUCUAAAUUAAUCCUUGGAGAGUCAGAGUGGUACAGUAAGAAAUUCGUAGUUUCACAUAAUUUUGGUGUGAAGUCCAGCAAAACUUGGCAGAUAUAAAAAUGGAUUUGUAGUAUUUAAAUGCAAGUGGUUUGGCUUUUUUUCUUGGCUUUUUCAGAGUAGCCUAGUUUGAUAGUAAAACUGUUUGAUAAAUGCAAAUACUUUACUCAAAAUAACCAAUGAAAAAAGUGAAAUUGUCCCUGAAUUUUAAUUAUAUAUUUUAUUUAAAUUUUUUAAAAUAUUUUUCCAUGCAGCAUUUCUCAGAGAGGGCAAUAAUCUCUUCUGGAAGCAGCAAUGUCUUUUUGCUCUGUCUUUUUACAGAACCUCAUGAAGUUUUUACAUAUUCAAGUGAAUUUCUUCAACUUGUAGCAGUAAUUAAAAAUGUGGAGCCUCUAAAGCAGAGGAAGAUAGCUCUUGGAAAAACCUCAGAUCUACUCUCAGGCAGAUUGAAAUUCUGAGAGUACCUGAAGGAGAGAGAAAACAUUUUACUUCAGCUGUAAACUGAAAGUCAAACAAAACUGUUGAAUCCACUGUAAUAUGAACUUCAAAUUUUUUUCCUCCUUUUUUAGUUUGUGCUAUUUAUAAAACUUCUAGUUUAGAAAGUAAGGACAAAGUACUGAUAGCUCUAUUCCUUGUUUGUAUUCAGAAAGCUGCUUGUAGCGUUAUUUGAGCAAAAUACUUUUAUUUUUUCCAAUUAGUAUAUGAAAAGAGCUGGGAGAAUGGAUCAGAUCUUCUGACCUGUUAUCAACAGAAUAGUUGAAAAAUCAAUGAUCUCAGAAUCCUUGUUUCUGGUGAAAUAUAAAGGGCAAAUUCACUUUCCAGGUCCAAGGUCUUUUUGGAGUCACCUAUCAUGAAAUAUUUUAAUGUUAUAUGUAAAUGGCCCAAACUAAGAGAUGCUGACAUAAAGAAAAUGCCCACGAAAUAAUGUAUUUUAUUUACUUUUCAAAAUAGAAAGGUGUUUUAAAUUAAUUUGUUUACUUUCUUUACAAUAUGAACCUGGCUUACAUCCUCGAUUCAGCCUUCUUCUUUCCAAAACCAAGUAAUAUACAAACAUGAAUUAUUGACACUUUUGCAUAUUGGUUUUUUGGGUGUUUAUACAUAACAUUAUUCUCCAAUGUGGGAAAAAUGUGGAAAGCUAAGCAACAUCUGUUCUUGUUUGUGCAGGUGAGAAUUUAAAAAGUAACAUAAUUUGUUAUAUCAUCCAUUUAAUUACCAUUCCCUUCAAUUUUUAUUCCAGCUUUCUCACCAGCAUUUUGAAAGAAGAACAUGCCAAUUCCAUUUGUUCUGUCAUGCUUAACUACAAGCCACCACAUGCUUGUGAGACAGCACAAACAACCUGAAACUUCCUAUGUGAGCUACACUUUCUUUUCACAAUUAGAAAAAUCAAAAGCAAAAAAGUCACUCCUAUUCCUGCAUCCUUUGACUGUACUUUCUAAAAGUGGUAAUGGUAUCAAGUUUGUCAGGAAUACAGAUCUUUAUAAAAAUGUAUUUCCAAGUGAAAUUUUAUGGUGACUUUUUAAUGAGUAUAUUUUCCUUCUGUGACAAUGUAGUCAAAAGAGUUUAAGUCAACUCACAACAGCUAUAGAACUUUCAAACUCUUUAAGACAUGGUAGAGUAUACUUGGAAAAGGUAAGAAAGUUUCUUAUUUAUACUUGAGCACUAGUGGUUUGCAUUUGGAAGUCUGUAUUUGGAUAAGAUAAAUCCUACCUCAAAAAGAUGAUACCAUGGCAGAAGCAAGCUGAAAAUACAUUUUAGGUGAAUUAUUUUUAAUUUCAGCUUCUCUGGUUGUUCUUGCAGACACUUGAUUUCAGGAGCGAAGUUGAUUUUACUUCUGUGAAACUGAUUUGUACGAACUAUGGUCUGCUUGGUUUGCUUUUAACUCCAUCACACAGCUAAAUUGCUUCAUAAUUUCUUGUUUUGUCUGCCUUUUCCAACAUCUGAAGGUCCAAAACCAGUCUAAAAAGCUCAGAAAAGUGAGAGAAUAUACCUGCAUGCUUAUGAUUUGUGCUCAUAUAUAAAAAACCCAAACAACCUGAAUGAAAAAAGAUUAACACAGUUUACUCCAAUGCAAUAAAACUGGGUGUUGUGGGAAUCGGACUCUUCCCAUUCUUCUUUGAGACAUUCAAACAGCAGUGUCAACCUGGCACUGUAAUAAGUCAAAAACCCCACAUCAAUAAAGUAAGCUUUCACUUGAGCAGACAAAAUCAUCUCAGUCUAUGUUGCAACAAAAUGUUUUGAAAACAUAAAAAUACCUGACAGUCACUUUUUUUCAGUAGCAGGUUAAAACUAAAGGAUACCAAGAGAACGCCAGAAUAAAGUCUGUACCUUAUUUGUAUUUGCUGAUGUAAUAUUUACAUGAUACAUCAAUUAGCUUUAAGGUAUUCAUAACUUUAUUUAACUUUCAUUCAUGAGAAUAGUGCAGACCUUGAUGAUUUCAGCAGAGGUGGAAUCUACCUCUUAGCAAAUGGAGCUAACAAGAAUUUGCAUAAAGCAGGAAAGACAUAAAAUAUCAUUAAGAAAAAAGAAGCUUUGGUAGUCAAGAUCAAAAAACUACAGGAAAUAAAAAUCAGCCUUCAAAGCGUUCAAUGGACAUAGCAAUUACAAAGCAAAUGAGAACUUGGUCAGUAGUCAAAGGUGAAAAAAAAUCCAAACAAAAUUCCAAAUUAUAAUAAAUGUCAUUUCAGCCAAAGCAAUGCUGGGAACUCCUUCUUCAAAGUCAGAAGCAGUGAGUUCAGGAAUACCACAUCUGGUUCCAAGCACCAUAUUAAAAAAAAUAAAAGUUAAUUUAAAAAGCCAUGUAGGGUAGAAGAACAGGCAAUUUUCCUCAAAUAAAUGUAUCUCUUUUAUAAUCAUGACCAUUUGUUCUUCCUGUAAGUCACUGUCAGAACAACAAAUUUUGAACACAAAUUAUAAUUGUUAGGGAAAGCUAUGCUAAAGAUUAGCAAAAGCUCUUAAACACUUAAGGCUGGAACUUUUUGUGAGACUUGUGGAACAUCCUUCCCACUGGAAUUUCUUUUCCAAGAUCUUACAGAAGCAACAUCCAUAUUAGUUCAACAAUCGGGACAUGACAUAAACAGUCUUUUCUGACAUCAAAACAUGCAUUUCUGUAAACCACAGUACUCUCAAAGACCCAACAGAGUAACAGCAACUGAGGGACAGACAGGCAAACUUAACUAUACAAAGACUCAAUGCAUGCUCUUCCCAUCCGCUGCAGCCUACCGUGCUUCUCCUUGUUCCCCCUACAGCAGCUGAGACAGUCAAUCCAUUCCUCCCAAGUUUGCUGCAUUGCUGGCUUCGAGGCUGUGUGACAACUCCCCUUGCUUGUGAAAGGCAAGGUGAUAUCACCUUGCUGGAAACCCAUCUGAAAGCUGCAAAGUAGGAACUUUACCUUGUGAUGUCAGAAGAAAGGACCAAGAGUCUGUCUCAGCCAGAAUUCCGUGCUGCAUUGUGGAGCAGACAUCCCCAGCUGCCCCGCUUGUGUUUCGGAAAGACACAGGUAUCCAAGUGUGACCCUUUACCAGCAAGUGCAUGUGCUGGAUGGGGCCAAGCCAUGCUUUCUGAAUGGCCAUUCUUAACUUCGGCUGGGAUCCAUUUGGAUGAAACAUUUCCUCAUGCAAACCUCACAGGAAGGCUUUACAUUACCUCGAGUAAAUCCUUCAUAGAGAGUUGUGACUUUGGAAGGGCCAAACUCAUGUGGACAGCUCCUGAACUGCUGCAAGUUGGCCUUGUCCCCUGUGUUUGCACCACUGAUGGUUUUCACCACUUGGGGACUCACUCUGCGCCAACAUCUUCAGAAAAUGGUCAUUCUUUGCACUGUCAUGGUAAAGCAGUACUCAUAAUUAGCAACAUAGGUGUACAUCCUUUUGGGAAACAGGGUUGGAAAAGCUGGAAAUAGGCAGAGGGAUCGCAGGAGGUGUGCACACACACAUAUAUGUGUAGAGAGACAGACACGCAGUCCAAACUGCUUCAUACAAAACAGGGGAAAAAACCCCCAGCUUUUACUUAAAGCUUGGGAUUUGCUGUUUUGGCUUUCGUACUCCACUCGCUUUCUGGCAGAGCUUAAAUGAAACCAAAAUAAAAAGAAUUGCAGGAUUUUUAUGAAAGUAAUGUGAAAAACAUGCUUGUAUUUCUCAGUUAGGAACAGCAAAGAUCAUUGCCCACUGAUGAUGGUUCCUCUCAUGACUGAACAAGCUCUUUACUGUAUAUUUAUGGCAACUCCCUGCUAUGCAGUAUUUCAUUACUUACAGGGGUUUUAAUUUCAGUUUGAAUGAGAUUUAGAACAAGAUCUGGCAUAAUAAAAUAUUAAUUAAAAUUAUUAAUAAAAUACAAAUUUUCUGAUAUGUAUUUAUCACUACACUUGUAAUUAAUCUCCUUUAUUGUCUCUUCAAAUAUCUUUUCUUCUUAAUUUUUUUUUUAGGCAAAAUAAUGUAUGAGUUCUAACUACUCAGUUAACAGCAGACUUAAUAUAUGAACACUUUUCAGCCAUAUGAAUAUAAAAAUAUGUAUGUAAGAGUGAAAUUUGUACCUGAAAACACUUCAUUUAAAAUAAAAAUAAAAGAUAACUAACUGUAAUUAGAUCUUGUAGCCAAUUUUGGCUUGCUAUUGGAAAGCCAUGGUAUAUGAUCUUACUUACAAUAGACAGACUGCUCUGUCUGGUGACAAAAAAGUGAAUUAAAGAUGGAGUUUUCCCUGUGA